GUCUUAUUAAGUUGGCACUCAUCCGUCAUUCCAAGUGUCUCACCCGAAAGUUUGUUUUCUCAGUCCGUCCUCACGUUUGAAGAUUUCCCCGUAGCAGGAAAUGAAAAUGAUAAUUCUAAUUCAUCACGCUGGAGGGAGCGCAAUACCAGUUGAAUAUACGACAGGGGAAGGUACAUCACUCUAACGCGAAUGCAGAGGUUUGGGGCGAUUCAGCGUAAUCGAGGAGGAGUGCUUCGAGAGUUUAAAAAAAAAGUUUCAGGUCAGCCCAUUAAAAACCGUAAAGCCCUUCUACCUCCCCCACACUGGCAUCGGUAUAGAGAAUGGGUAUAUCGUUUCACACUCCAUGUAUGUUUACGAUUACUGUUAUUCCCAUGUCGCUGGUGCAGUCGCCCUCAAAACUGCAAUAGUGAGAUAACCGUUUUCGUUGCUCUAGUAGACACCAACUCUCGUCUCCAGUGUACCUCCACUAUUUUCACGAUAAUCCGAUGAGUCGCUUCAGAUCAUCUUUCAGGGGCCAUCUUUUCUGGACUAUAAUUUGUGGGCUUCUAUACACACACACUUCCAUCUCAAUGUCGUUAAAAUACACAGCAAGUCCACUGAGUGCUUCGUAAAAAAAUAGAUUGGAGUUGCAGUAAUGAAAAUUAUGGAGCUUUAAUAAGCAAACUAAAUGCUGAUGAGGUUUAUAACGUGUGGGGAUGGUAUGACGGACAGAUAUCCUUUGAAUAUUUUUUUAUUAUUGUCAAAACUAAAAUAUUGCUCAUAAUGACACCAUCGAUAUAAUUCCGAAUUCUUAAUUUACAUUCUCUUAAAUGCUGGAAAAUUAAUUGUAUACUUUUGUGUGUAGAGAAUAGAAUAGAGAACUUACAGUACUUUGGUUUUUUCUAGUUAUAUGAUGUGAUCUUUUAAAUAACUUUGCAUAAAAACCACUGUCCAUUUUGCCCUGUCUACCCUAUUACACGUUAUGCCCUCAAAAUCCACUCAUCAUUUUUAAGUAUUGUAUGGUGAAAUGUGUUUACAGCCAGUUGUGAAAAACAAAGUAUGAAAUCUAA